UGAAUGAGUGGAAUCAGUGACUCAGACAAAGCCACUGUUGCACAACUGUAUGCAUGCACAGUGAACUCUGCAGACUCUGCAGAUGGUUCCUGUAAAUAGCGCUUAAAACCACAGUGGAAAAGCCACAUGCUCCUGAUACACUUGGGGGGACAUAAAGGGAAACCCACACACCCAAGGAGGAGGGCUCUGGCCAUGCAAGGCUGAAGGCCCAGUGUACUGAUAUGAAAACUGAAGCUCAGACAGAAGAGGCGACGUUGCUUUCUUAACCACUGGAUUUGCAGUGCUGUGGUUCUCAGAAGAGGCCAGGACAGGUUAAUCCACUCACUUGGGAGAAGGAAAUCUUUCCAUAUCACCCAGGCUGAUCUUCAACGAACUGGACUCAAGUAUUCCUCCCACCUCGGCCUCCAGGGGGGACUGUUUGACGCCAGAGUGGAGACGGUCAGGCAGCCACUCGGGCCUUGGAAGCAAAGUCAAAAGUUGAAUGUACAGCUGGUAUAAAAAUGGUGCUUUGUCGUCAUGAAGAAGGUGUAUUCUGGGAUCAAACCACCUGGCUGGAGAUGCUUACUAACCUCAGUUUCUUCAUCUGACCUUACCUUUCUAAAAGAAUAAGAAGAAGAUGAUACAUAUUCCUCUAAAGUCCCAACAGGAACCUUUUCCCCUCACUCCCUCCCCAGAGAUGUGUAUCAUUUCCAUGAGUGUCUGUACUUUUACAACAUGUGCAUAUUAAUAAACAAAAUAUGACAAAUUAUUUUGUCUUAAUAUUUGCAUAAAUCUAGCCAUACUCUACACCACUUUUGCAACUUUCACUAUUAUAUAUUUUGAAGAUUAUCCGUGUUUAUGCACAUAAGUUUAUCAUUUUAACUGUUGAAUAGUGUUUCAUUAUAUGAAUUAACCAUAAUUCAUCUAUUUCCCUGAGUGACAAUUAGGUUUCUUUUUGUUUUUAUGCUCUGAUGAACAAUCUUGCAAUUAUUAUCUUUGUAUAUGUCUUCAUGUAUAAGAAAUUCUCCAGGGUAGACACUUAGAAGUAAAGGGUCUGACUCAGAGAGUCUGUGUAUUUUAAAAUGUAUUGGUUAUUGUCAAAUUGUUCCUCAAAGUAGAUGUACCAAUUUACAUUCCUACAGUGGUAUAUAACAGUUUUUUUUUCUCCACAUCCUCUUCAACACUCGUCAUUACCAG
rnacentral:lncRNA from 10 species